rnacentral:rRNA from 1 species
CCUGGUUGAUCUUGCCAGUAGUCAUAUGCUUGUCUCACAGAUUAAGCCAUGCAAGUGAAAGUACAUAUGUAAAUAAUAUAUUGAAACUGCGAACGGCUCAUUAAAACAGUUAUAAUCUACUUGAUGUUUUUAAUAUAAGGAUAACUACGGAAAAUCUGUAGCUAAUACUUGUGAAAAUACCUUUUGAUAUAUACAUAUGUAUGUAUCAUUAAGGUAUGUAUUUGUUAGAUAUAAGAAUAAAAUAAAUAUAAUUGAAUUAUAACAAAGAAGAAACACAUAAAAUAUGUGUAUUAUCAAUCGAGUAUCUGACCUAUCAGCUUUUGAUGUUAGGGUAUUGACCUAACAUGGCUAUGACGGGUAACGGGGAAUUAGAGUUCGAUUCCGGAGAGGGAGCCUGAGAAAUAGCUACCACAUCUAAGGAAGGCAGCAGGCGCGUAAAUUACCCAAUUCUAAAAAAGAGAGGUAGUGACAAGAAAUAACAAUACAAUAUCGAAAAAUGAUUUUGUAAUUGGAAUGAUAGGAAUUUACAAGGUUCCUAGAGAAACAAUUGGAGGGCAAGUCUGGUGCCAGCAGCCGCGGUAAUUCCAGCUCCAAUAGCAUAUAUUAAAAUUGUUGCAGUUAAAACGUUCGUAGUUGAAUAUUAAAGAAUCCGAUGUUUCAUUUAAACUGGUUUGGGAAAACCAAAUAUAUUAUAUAUUUUGCUUUGUUCAAAAUAAGGUUUUCUAAUAAAUUAUGUUUUUAUCAGAUAUGACAGAAUCUUUUUUAAAAUCUCUUCAAUAUGCUUUUAUUGCUUUUGAGAGGUUUUGUUACUUUGAGUAAAAUUAAGUGUUCAUAACAGACGGGUAGUCAUGAUUGAGUUCAUUGUGUUUGAAUACUACAGCAUGGAAUAACAAAUAUGAAUAAGCUAAUUAUUUUUUUUUUUCAUAAUUUUUUUUGAUAUUCUUAUUAGCUUAGUUACGAUUAAUAGGAGUAGCUUUGGGGGCAUUCGUAUUCAGAUGUCAGAGGUGAAAUUCUAAGAUUUUCUGGAGACGGACUACUGCGAAAGCAUUUGCCUAAUCUAUUUCCAUUAAUCAAGAACGAAAGUUAAGGGAGUGAAGACGAUCAGAUACCGUCGUAAUCUUAACCAUAAACUAUACCGACUAGGUGUUGGAUGAAUAUAAAAAAUAUAUAAAUAUGUAGCAUUUCUUAGGGAAUGUUGAUUUUAUAUUAGAAUUGCUUCCUUCAGUACCUUAUGAGAAAUCAAAGUCUUUGGGUUCUGGGGCGAGUAUUCGCGCAAGCGAGAAAGUUAAAAGAAUUGACGGAAGGGCACCACCAGGCGUGGAGCUUGCGGCUUAAUUUGACUCAACACGGGAAAACUCACUAGUUUAAGACAAGAGUAGGAUUGACAGAUUAAUAGCUCUUUCUUGAUUUCUUGGAUGGUGAUGCAUGGCCGUUUUUAGUUCGUGAAUAUGAUUUGUCUGGUUAAUUCCGAUAACGAACGAGAUCUUAACCUGCUAAUUAGCGGAAAGUACACUAUAUUAUUAUUUGAAAUUGAAUAUAGGUAAUUAUACAUGUUUAUUCAGUGUUCAAAUUAGGAUAUUUUUUUAUUAAAAUAUUCUUUUCCCUGUUCUACUAUAAUAAUUUGUUUUUUUUUACUCUAUUUCUCUCUUCUUUUAAGAAUGUACUUGUUUGAUUAAAUAAAGCUUCUUAGAGGAACAGUGUGUAUCUAACACAAGGAAGUUUAAGGCAACAACAGGUCUGUGAUGUCCUUAGAUAAACUAGGCUGCACGCGUGCUACAAUGAUAUAUAUAACAAGUUGUUAAAAAUGUACUUAUAAAUAAGUGUGUACAAUUUUUCCUGUACUGAAAAGUAUAGGUAAUCUUUAUCAGUAUAUAUCGUAAUUGGGAUAGAUUAUUGCAAUUAUUAAUCUUGAACGAGGAAUGCCUAGUAAGCAUGAUUCAUUAGAUUGUGCUGACUACGUCCCUGCCCUUUGUACACACCGCCCGUCGCUCCUACCGAUUGAAAGAUAUGAUAAAUUGUUUGGAUAUGAAUUAAAAUAAUGAAAUUUUAUAUUUCUGAUUUUUUCUAGAAGAACUGUAAAUCCUAUCUUUUAAAGGAAGGAGAAGUCGUAACAAGGUUUCCGUAGGUGAACCUGCGGAAG